rnacentral:rRNA from 1 species
GACGAACGCUGGCGGCGUGCUUAACACAUGCAAGUCGAACGGAAAGGCCCUGCUUUUGUGGGGUUCUCGAGUGGCGAACGGGUGAGUAACACGUGAGUAACCUGCCCUUGUCUUUGGGAUAACUUCAGGAAACUGGGGCUAAUAUCGGGUAGGAGCUCCUGCUGCAUGGUGGGGGUUGGAAAGUUUCGGCGGUUGGGGAUGGACUCGCGGCUUAUCAGCUUGUUGGUGGGGUAGUGGAGUACCAAGGCUUUGACGGGUAGCCGGCAUGAGAGGGUGACCGGCCACAUUGGGACUGAGAGACGGACCAGACUCCUACGGGAGGCAGCAGUGGAGAAUAUUGCACAAUGGGCGGAAGCCAGAGGCAGCGACGCCGCGUGCGGGAUGACGGCCUUCGGGUGGUAAACAGCUUUCGCCUGUGACGAAGCGUGAGUGACGGUAAUGGGUAAGGAAGCACCGGCUAACUACGUG